UUCGCUAGAGUGAAGGUGCCUCGUUGACAAAAUGAAGUCCAUCGCUUUGGCGAUUGUUAUGUUGCUAAUGGCAGAAAGUGUACUUCUUUACCCUGCCGUCAACGAAUCUGACACAGGAGUAGGCAGGCUCCCCCAUGUUGGUUUAGCUAGAGUUAUCAUUACUGUUGUAAACCUUCCACACAGAACGCCUCUCCCAAACUACAAGAUGGAUGCAUUAGGGCACGUACAUAAAAUUUUUAUGCCUGCCGAUGACAGCUAGUAGUCAGGAACAUGACGAUGGAUGGUCAGUCAAAAGAUAAGACAGUUUCGUAAUUAGAGACUGUCUUAGAUUUCGGAAUACGACAACUAUAUGUUAUGGGCAAACUAACUUAUAUGUAGAUUAAAUUGAAUAAACAUUAAAUUUACAGUUU